rnacentral:rRNA from 1 species
UGCGUAGGCGGACUAAUAAGUCAGUGGUGAAAUCUCUCGGCUCAACCGGGAAACUGCCAUUGAUACUGUCAGUCUUGAGUUCGGUUGAGGUAGGCGGAAUGUGUAAUGUAGCGGUGAAAUGCUUAGAUAUUACACAGAACACCAAUUGCGUAGGCAGCUUACUAGACCGACACUGACGCUGAGGCACGAAAGCGUGGGUAGCGAACAGGAUUAGAUACCCUGGUAGUCC